rnacentral:misc_RNA from 1 species
CAGGGAGGAAGAGAGACAUGCGCCGGCACGCAUCGUUUGGAAGUGAAAAGGACCAUUUUUGAGGCCCCGAUUCGAGAGGAUCCGGAUGCCUGAACCCUUCAAAGGACCGUGUUGUUCGUGGGCGAAUACGCAGCAUACUCCAGACCACCGUAAAGUAGUACGAUACGAUGUUUCUCGCUGAAUGGUGGGGGAGAAAACAAGAGGGAAAAAGACCACCUGACGCGCAACCUUUUGGGGUCUGGUAAAAGAUCCAAUGGGGACCGGAGGGGGUCCUUUGCUGGGUACUUGGGACGUACGUGUUCUUAACCAAUG